AAGUCGUAACAAGGUUUCCGUAGGUGAACCUGCGGAAGGAUCAUUAACACGUAUCCAACGUUAAACAACCCUGUGAACUUUCAGACGCUCUUGUAGCCCAGGAGGAACAGCAAUCCCGGUAAAUCAAUGGCGGAAAGUUUUUGAUUCGGGACCUCUGUCCAAAAGGUAUCAAGUUACAAUCGAGCUAGGAGCAGUGGCAUGGUUUCCCUAAGCAGUGCAGAAGGAUCCACUGAGUAAGGAUAACGCAUCACGGUUGCCAGAGGUCGAUCACCGGCCGGCAGACAUGUCACAGGGCUUUAUGCCCCCGCGGAAACGCCGGGCAAAAAAAUCUGAACAACUGUUAACAAUGGAUAUCUUGGUUCUC
rnacentral:misc_RNA from 1 species